AGAGUUUGAUCAUGGCUCAGAAUCAACGCUGGCGGCGUGCCUAACACAUGCAAGUCGAACGGGAAAGCACUUUUCGGAGUGCAAGUAGAGUGGCGAACGGGUGAGUAACGCGUGGGUGAUCUACCCUUUGGUGGGGGAUAACUUCGCGAAAGCGGAGCUAAUACCGCAUGAGCCUGGAGUUGUAAGGGACUUCAGGGAAAGCUUUCGGGUGCCGAAGGAGGAGCCCGCGUCCGAUUAGCUAGUUGGUGAGGUAAGGGCUCACCAAGGCGACGAUCGGUAGCCGGUCUGAGAGGACGGACGGUCACACUGGGACUGAGACACGGCCCAGACUCCUACGGGAGGCAGCAGUGGGGAAUUUUGGGCAAUGGGCGCAAGCCUGACCCAGCAACGCCGCGUGGAGGACGAAGGUUUUCGGAUCGUAAACUCCUGUCUAGAGGGACGAAGCAAGUGACGGUACCUCUGGAGGAAGCCCCGGCUAACUCCGUGCCAGCAGCCGCGGUAAUACGGGGGGGGCUAGCGUUGUUCGGAAUUACUGGGCGUAAAGGGCGCGUAGGCGGUAUUGGAAGUCAUGGGUGAAAGUCCUCGGCUCAACUGAGGGAUUGCCUGUGAAACCACGGUACUGGAGUGCUGGAGAGGGAAGUGGAAUUCCCAGUGUAGCGGUGAAAUGCGUAGAUAUUGGGAGGAACAUCUGUGGCGAAGGCGGCUUCCUGGACAGACACUGACGCUGAGGCGCGAAAGCCAGGGGAGCGAACGGGAUUAGAUACCCCGGUAGUCCUGGCUGUAAACGAUGAACACUUGGUGUAGGGGGUGAUGAAAGUCCCUCUGUGCCGUAUAGAACUCGAUAAGUGUUCCGCCUGGGGAGUACGGCCGCCAAGGCUGGAAACUCAAAUGAAUUGACGG
rnacentral:rRNA from 1 species